AUUUGGAUAGUGAUACCCAAGUCCAAGGUACAUACUCAGUAACUAAUCAGCAGAGAAAGUUGUGGUUCUGUCAAGAAUGAGAAAAACAAAUGCUUAUUACAAUGCAAUCCUCUAACCUAGGCAAAGAAUCUAUAAUUCAUUUCUAAUAAGGCUGCAUAAAGCAUGACAACACAACUAUACCACAGACAUUACCAAACUAUUCUAGUGGAAUUCUUGUCACAAGGGUUUUGCGGUCGC
rnacentral:misc_RNA from 1 species